UGCUGAAAGUGGAGGUGGGGAAGGAGGAAGGGGAAGACCCCGGCAAGGUGUAAAUGACAAAGAGGAUGUGGUCACUGAAUUUCAGGGGCAGUUUUCACCAAGAAGAGCACGACAGAGGAGUGCAGGUGAUCCUUCCUGUGGAAACAAGACCCCACAAAGUGUUGAUGACAACAACAGUGAUUUCAUGCUGCUGGAGGUUGUAUGCCUGGCAUAAUGUGAAAGAGGAAUCACAGAGCUGGAGAACUACAGAAACUUCUGGAAUUGUAUCAAAGGAAGUAUGCUAAAUAGGGGCUGUGACGAGGACACAGAGAAGACUGCUAGAUUAGGCAAAACUCAGCACACGUGGCUUCUUCCUCACACCCCCACAGAAAAGAAGGCCCGGUGCCUUUCUAGGAAAUAAAAUUUUCGGAAAUGUUCUUUUGUCAUAUAUUACUAAAUGGUGCCAAUAGCUACACAUAAUUUGAAGAAAGGUUAUAAGUAACCACUCAUCUACCUACUACCUACCUAAAAAUAAAUUCAUAGGAAUUAUCCCUUCUUCCUACCAAUUCUCUGUCUCCUUCCCUCCCUUCCUUCCUCUUUAGAAUGUAUUGACUUCACACAUGAAUGCAUAAACACACAUCCUACUCACCACUCUCCACUUUCACCCUGAUCCACUAAGCAGAUCAUUCUAUUUGAGUUUUAUGGUAAAAAAAAAAAAAAAAAAAAAAAGUAAUAGUCAGUAUAGCGCAGGACUUACGAGGUAAGGCCUUUGAAUCAGAGAGACCUCUUUUGAACCUCAAGACAUUUUAAAAUAAUGUGAUCUUGGACAAAUUGCUUGAGCUAUUCAGGACUCAGUUCCUCCUCAAUACAAUGAGCAUAAAUAACAACACCUCUGUUGUUGUAAGAUAUGUUCCAUUUAGUCACAUAAUGUACUUAGUGUAAUAUCUGACACACAAUAAGUGCUUAGUAAAUAUUAACUAUUUAUUUUCUAUGUAUUCUGCUUUUAAUAGUGUAAUAGUAGUAAUUAAUAAUUUCCUAGCAGGCAAAGAAAUUUAAAUUAUGUAAGUAGUCAUUUAUUAUUCUAAAAUUCUCUCUCCUCAGUAUUUUCCCUAUCCGUCCACAAAGUCAUAGAGCCUCAGAGAUGGAAAUAAACAGACGAAACAAACUCUAUGUCUAACAGGCAUCCCUAGAAGCAUCCAGGAAAAGCCUGAAUUACAAAGGGGAACCAGGCCUAGCAGAGAUGGGGCUUGUUUCAUCCACAUUUUUCUAACUCUAAGGUUUCAGCCCUCUACUUUUAGUUGUAUUCUGGCAUAAAAGCAUUAUUGAACACCUACCAUGUAUAAGGUCUUAUUAUGGGUUUAAUAUAUCCUCCCAAAAUUCAUAUGUUAAAGUCCUAACUCCUAGUAUGACAGCAUGUGACCUUAUUUGGAAACAGGGUCAUUGCAUACAUAAUUAGUUAAGAUGAGGUCAUUACUGUCUGGGAUCAAGUGAUAUCAAUCUUCAAUUAUCUGAAGGACUGGGAGGUGUUAUUCUAUAUUAAUCUAGACAGAAGAACUAAGACCAGAGGUAACCCAGUAUGACUAGUGUUCUUAUAAAGAGGGGAAAUUUAGACACAGACAUGCACACUAGGGGAACACCACAUGAAGAUGAAGGCAAAGAUCAGAAUGGUGUUUCCACAGGCCAAGAAAAGACAAAUUUCCAGCAAACUACAAGAAGCUGAGAGAGAACCAUGGAACAGAUUUUUCCCUCACAAUAUUUGGGAGAAACUAACCCUGUGAACACCUUGAGCUUGGACUUCCAGCCUGCAGGAUUGUGCAAUAAUACUUUUCUGUUGCUUAAGCUAUUUUAGGUUAUGGUACUUUGUUAUGGCAGUCCUAGCAAAUAACACAGGUCAAAUGUAUUCCAUGUCAAAAUUACUGCAUGUAAAAUAAAUGUGCUGAAGUUACUUUUUCUGCCUCA
ensembl:lncRNA